GAGUUAAGAUGGAGUAACCAUACUCUACCUUGUCUUUCUUAGUGAAUACAGUUAUAAAAUUUAAACAGAUUACCUGCAGCAGCUAAGUGAGAGCUUUGAAAAGUAAAUGGUAGCAGGAAGAUUGAUGAGGAAGAUGAGAAUUUGAAGUACCAACCAACUGUUGCCCCCAGACAGUCCCACAGUAGUAGUGGUGAUAAUAACAGUGAUGUCAGCAAGGCUCCAGGUGCUGAAAACUGUGAGAAAGUGUAAUUACUUGAUGGGUUCUUCCUGCCCACUGCAUGGACAAAACCAAUUCACGGAGACUGUGGUUUUGCAGUGGAGAAAGAGCUUAUCAGAUGGCUUUCAGACUUGAACUGGAACAUUGACUCUCCUGGAUUUCCAGGCUGCCAGCCCACCCUGCCGAUUUUGGACUUGCCAGUCUCCAUAAUCACGUG
rnacentral:lncRNA from 10 species